rnacentral:rRNA from 1 species
AGAAUCAACGCUGGCGGCGUGCCUAACACAUGCAAGUCGAACGAGAAAGUGGAGCAAUCCAUGAGUAAAGUGGCGCACGGGUGAGUAACACGUGACUAACCUACCCUUGAGUGGGGGAUAACCUAGAGAAAUCUGGGCUAAUACCGCAUAAUACCUUCGGGUCAAAGGAGCAAUUCGCUUAAGGAGGGGGUCGCGGCCGAUUAGUUAGUUGGCGGGGUAAUGGCCCACCAAGGCAUUGAUCGGUAGCCGGACUGAGAGGUUGGCCGGCCACACUGGAACUGAGACACGGUCCAGACUCCUACGGGAGGCAGCAGUGGGGAAUCUUGCACAAUGGACGAAAGUCUGAUGCAGCAACGCCGCGUGGGGGAUGAAGCUUCUCGGAGUGUAAACCCCUUUCGACCCGGAAGAAUGCCCGCAAGGGUUUGACGGUACGGGUAUAAGAACGCCCCGGCUAACGUACGUGCCAGCAGCCGC